rnacentral:rRNA from 1 species
CCCUUAGAUGUCCUGGGCCGCACGCGCGUUACACUGAUGCAUUCAACGAGCUUAUAACCUUGGCCGAGAGGCCUGGGCAAUCUUGUUAACGUGCAUCGUGAUAGGGAUAGAUUAUUGAAAUUAUUAAUCUUGAACGAGGAAUUCCUAGUAAACGCAGAUCAUCAAUCUGCAUUGAUUACGUCCCUGCCCUUUGUACACACCGCCCGUCGCACCUACCGAUUGAAUGGUCCGGUGAAUCUUUAGGACUGUGGCUGAGGCCUUGCCUUGUGCGGGUCUGGCCGUGGGAAUUUAGUUAAACCUUACCAUUUAGAGGAAGGUGAAGUCGUAACA